UACGUAGGGUGCGAGCGUUUAAUCGGAAUUACUGGGCGUAAAGCGUGCGCAGGCGGUUCGUUGUGUCGGCGGUGAAAGCCCCGGGCUUAACCUGGGAAUGGCCGUUGAAACUGGCGAACUGGAGUGUGGCAGAGGGGGGUGGAAUUCCGCGUGUAGCAGUGAAAUGCGUAGAGAUGCGGAGGAACACCGAUGGCGAAGGCAGCCCCCCUGGGCUAACACUGACGCUCAGGCACGAAAGCGUGGGGAGCAAACAGG
rnacentral:rRNA from 1 species